UGAUAGCUAUGAAGCGUGAGGUUGCUGCUUUAUCCAGUUAAGCAGGUUUUCCGUGGAGCGAAUGUCUAGAGGCCAGUUGCUUUGGCCAACCAAACUGACGACAA
rfam:Butyrivibrio proteoclasticus strain P18 genome assembly, contig: Ga0066879_121